UACAGAGGGGGCGAGCGUUAUUCGGAAUUACUGGGCGUAAAGGGCGCGUAGGCGGCUUGGCAAGUGGAAGGUGAAAUCCCUCGGCUUAACCGAGGAACUGCCCUCCAAACUGCUUUGCUUGAGGCCGGGAGAGGUAAGUGGAAUUCCCAGUGUAGCGGUGAAAUGCGUAGAUAUUGGGAGGAACACCAGUGGCGAAGGCGGCUUACUGGACCGGUUCUGACGCUGAGGCGCGAAAGCGUGGGGAGCAAACGGG
rnacentral:rRNA from 1 species